GUGCCAGCCGCGGCGGUAAUACAGAGGGUGCGAGCGUUAAUCGGAUUUACUGGGCGUAAAGCGCGCGUAGGCGGCGAUAUAAGUUGGAUGUGAAAUCCCCGAGCUUAACUUGGGAAUUGCAUUCAAAACUGUAUAGCUAGAGUAUGGGAGAGGAAGGUAGAAUUCCAGGUGUAGCGGUGAAAUGCGUAGAGAUCUGGAGGAAUACCGAUGGCGAAGGCAGCCUUCUGGCCUAAUACUGACGCUGAGGUGCGAAAGCAUGGGGAGCAAACAGGAUUAGAUACCCUGGUAGUCCAUGCUGUAAACGAUGUCUACUAGCCGUUGGGGUCUAUGAGACUUUAGUGGCGCAGCUAACGCGAUAAGUAGACCGCCUGGGGAGUACGGUCGCAAGACUAAAACUCAAAUGAAUUGACGGGGCCCGCACAAGCGGUGGAGCAUGUGGUUAAUCGAUGCAACGCGAAGACCUUACCUGGCCUUGACAUACUAAGAAGAUUCAGAGAU
rnacentral:rRNA from 1 species